AGUGGUUGGGAUAGCUCAGUUGGUAGAGCAGAGGACU
rnacentral:tRNA from 1 species